rnacentral:lncRNA from 1 species
GGGAAAAAAAAAACCAUUAAGAUCGAAAUUAAGGAUAAGAUGAUGGAAGCGGGAAAGGAAUUAUUUUUUUGUUCCAGAAAUAUUUUUUUUUAUCAUCUAAUAUUUAAUUGGACACCAUUGCCACUGAUCGCUAAGCUGAGGAUGAGAUCGAUGUAGUAAAGGAUAGCUGAGAUCAGCAAUAUAGCUGAGUCUCCUUAGGAGAAUGCUGGAU